CAGCACACACUGAUUCAGCUGACUGUGCCUGUGUAGCUUAGAUACUAAAGACCAUGCUGUGUGUGUGUGUGUGUGCGUGUAUGUGCGUGUGUGUGUGUGUGCGUGUGUGCGUGCAUGCAUAUGUGUGUGUGCAUGCAUGUGUGUGUGGCUGUGCGUGCAUGCAUGUGUGUGUGUGUGCAUGCAUGCGUGUGUGUGCAUGCAUGCGUGUGGGUGUGCGUGCAUGCGUGUGUGUGUGUGUGUGUGUGCGUGCCUGCGUGUGUGUGUGUGUGUGCGUGCGUGCAUGCAUGUAUGUGUGUGUGUAGCAGCAGCAGCAGGGCAGGAUUCAGCUGGUCCUAAAGCCGGAGACAGACCGGGCCGCCGCCCUACAGGAGCCGCUCAGGAAACCGGCGAUUCCCGCUGGAAAAAAUGUACCAAAGAAGAUUGGAUUGAUCUUCAGGAAAAUGGCGAAGAACAAGUCUACCAGCUGAACUGGAUUUUUAUUGCGUUAAUCUUAGUGUGCCAGGGCACUGUUGUCUUCAGCUGCCUGACAGUGGUGCACUCCAGGUUCUUAAUGCUCAAAUCAAGGACGCUGGAACUGGUCCCACAGCAUUUAUCCCAAACGGUUAUGGCUCCAUUACACUUACUAGAACCUGUUAAAGAGUUUUUAACCUUUAUUUAUGCACAGAGGUUGUGUACAGCUGAGACGUCUGAAGCCUUUUAGCUUCACAAAAGAAAAUGAAGGAUAUAAAGGUGCAAUGAUUUCUUCUUCAAGAAAUAAUCUUGAAAUUAUGUUAGAAUCCAUUUAAAAUAACUAUGUCUCCACCUACAUAGGACAACGAUGUAUUAUAAUGGGUAAGGAACCUGGUCUUGUAACGUGAAGGUCACAGGAUCGAUUCCCAAGUAGGGCACUGCCAUUGUACGCUUGAGCAAGGUACUUAACCUGCAUUGCUUCAGUAUAUAACCAGCUGUAUAAAUGGAUGCAAUGUAAAAGCUAUGUACAAAAAAAGUUGUGUAAGUCGCUCAGGAUAAGAGUGUUUGCUAAAUGCUUCUAAUGUGAUGUACACAGGACAUCUGUACAGUUAUUGAGAAUAAGCUCCUUUUUGCUGCUGAAUUCCUGGAAUACUUAAAAUGAUCUGCAUGAGAUUGUAUUGGACCUGAGCUGAGCCCUAUGUCUGCCAGCUCCCCAGCGUGAUGUCACAAUGGGCUCUGACAUCAGCAGGAAUGAGAGGGUUUAAUUGGUCGAGAUGCAGGUCUCACUGCACGCCAGUGAACCCCACUGGCCAAUCAGAAGUCCAGAAGUCUGCCUGUUCAGCUUCAUAUUAAGUGUCUUCCUCUAACUCAUGUCUGUGUGAGUGAGUCUGACUGGCACACAGAGCUGUGAUUAGAAGCAAUGGGGGACAGCACUAGCUUGUCUAUGCUAUCUGCAGUAUACACACGAUUGGACAUUAUACAUUUUUUAAAUCAUCUAUAAAUUAUUUAUUUGAGAUGAAAUUGCUAAUUGUAAUUACAUGUUUUUUGCCUUCAUCAAUAUGCCAGUUGUAUUGUUAUUGAAGUGAAUUAAAAUAUUUUUCACAAUGAAA